GCAGGAUGGGCUGGUCAGUGGGAUAGCCUCUGUGCACAUUUUGUGGCAAGUAGGAGUGACACAUCAUUCCUGGGAGGCCCCGUGGUUCCUGCCAAACCCAACCCCAGAAUUCUCCCUGAGGUGGUUUUACCAAACCCAUAACCCAGAACUGCUAUUGUGGUUUGGGGGUCAGCACCCACCAGUGCCAGGGCACUACUGGGAGGCUGGGACCUGACCAAAGCCCAUGGUGUCUGUGGCCUGAGGACAGGGUGUCUUGGGGCCAUGAGGACAGGCCACCAAUGGCCGUUGGGUCAUAGGGCCUGAGCCCCAGUGUUUGUCCUUCCCUGGCUCCUUCUGGUUCAGUCCCAUCAGGGCUCUGGAUCCCAAGACGCAGCAUCCAAGGUUCCCUCCAGGAAUCCUGGUGGCUCGGCUUACUUUGUCAUGUUUCAUCUGAUAGCAAAAAUAUCAGAUCGGCUGCACAGAAAAAUGGCUCAAAGUGCUUAAUGACCAGAAGAAAUCUGGGAGUAGCAAGAAGGUAAUGUGGAGAGGGGAGGACCUCCAUGACUGGUGUCUGCAGAGCCAGGGGUACAGGGACCCAGUGCAGUGACCUGGCACCACCUGCCUCUCAGAGGGUGGGUAGCACACUGUCCUUACCUGGGGGACAGCAGGCCUGGUCACCGGCUUUUCUCCCUGUCCCUGCAAGCAUCACAUUGCUGGAAGAGAAUCUCAUGCCAGAGCUUGGACCAUCCCUAGCUUGGGGGUUAGGGGUUGUCUCUUGGUGACCUAAAUGAAAAAAUAGGUCCAGAUCAGAGUUCGUGAUGCAUAGCACUCACCCACUCUUUGAAUCAUGGGAGGGGAGGCCUAGUCCUAGGUAAACCUAAACUCUUUGAGGAACCACAGAGCCCAAGGCUGGAAACCUCCAGAAUCCUCCAGCCCCUGAUCCCCCCCCCCCCCGGGGACCUCUGUGGCCUGUCUCACCAGAGCACUCUUCUGUCUGUAGAGGUCUCAGGUGCUCUACAAGGGAGUCCCAUUUCAGGUGUGGGGCUGGGUAUGGUCACUCCUGCUGGAUGUCUAGAAGGUGAAAACCAAGGACCUAGGAAAAUACCAGAUACAGCCUUUCCACCGUCAUCCAGAGCAGGACAAACACGCCAGGUGGUGUCAGGAGCCCAGGUCUCCAGCUGGAGGGAAUGUCAACCCUGCAGUGGGAGCCCAUCAUGCAUCCUAGGCACAGAUGCUAACGUAGGCACCGCAGGUAAGCUGGGUUUGGUACCCCUUCCUGGCUUCAGAAAGAAGCCAAACAAGGAGCUUUCUGCAGAAUGAAACCUCUUUUCCAUCCAGAAGCACUGCUGACUGUUUGGUGGUUGCUGUUAGGGCAGUGAGCCUUUUGUCCAUUCUGAGAUUAGGCUGGUUUCUCCUCUUGGCCCUGGCCUACAGACCAUAAAGGAAAACAGCAAGAGGUCCCCAGCAAACAUCUACAGAUGGCCCUGGACAUCAGCCACAUUCAGAGAAACGUGUCAUGUUCUGGGAGGGCUAAGGCAUCGAGAAUCCCAGUGAAUAUAUUGCCACCAUCUUGGAGCUCAGUGCCCUCAUAGUGUAACAGCACCAGCAGAUCUGCCUGUGCACAGACUUCCUGUACUACCUCACUCCUGAGGGGAGAUGCUUCUGCAGGGCCUGCGACCUGGUGCACAACUUUAGACACCAUCAUCCUGGAGCGGCACUGCACCCUCACUAGCCAGGGUGUUGAUGACUUCCUCAAUGCCAAGGCCACGUUCAAGAUUUUCGACUUCAGUGAUGCGUUUGUGCUGAGCAAGCCAAGAGACCCAAGCCUGCCUUGCUGCCACUUAGGAUAUGACAGCACAGCCAGUGGCCUCUACUGGAUCCUGGUACCCCUCAGAAGACACCCAGACACUGGGAGUGCUGCCACCUCGUGGUGCAAGAGUUCUGAGGGACGGCAAUUCUGAAGACAUUGAAUGCCGUUUUGCACACCCUGGUCAGAAUGAAACAUUCCUUGGGAACUCGGGCCGUGAGAAGCAUCCUUCCUGAUCACCUGACUGUAGAAACAUCCUUAUCGCACCCUCCCGGGCAAAGGCCCAACAGCCUGACUGCAGGAACAUCCUUGCCAUAUCCUGCCGGGCAGCAAGCUCUACCGCCCACACCCCUCCUUCCCAGUCCCAUGAUCACCCCAGCCUGUGAGAGGCAGUUGGUGCUGGCAGUAAGCUGGUUUCCUCCUCUGCAGGGUUUUGCUAGUAAUAAAGGUGUUGCUGUUGAAGCCGUC
rnacentral:lncRNA from 1 species